rnacentral:lncRNA from 1 species
UAAUUUAGCACACGGCCAAAAAAAUUUGCAAAAUUCUAUGGUACUUUCUAAUUCCCUAAGCCGACUCUUGGCACAGCUCUAAUUGACUGCCAAGGAGCAAAGUUUCCAACAGAAGGAGAAUUUGGAUCCUGGCAGCCCAUGGGGCACAGAUUGGAUACAAUUAUUGUGCAAGAGCACCGAGAAUCAAGGAAGGAUCAGGUUCCAUUGUGAAUUGCCUGAAUUUCUCUCCUUUUUCACACCAGCCAGUUGUUAGAGCUACGGUGCAAACAUCCACAAAAAAUUUACAAAAACCAUGGGAAUCAAACCUAGGAUCAGACGGCUGUGGGAGUCUAUAGAUGUUCACCAAAACAAUAUCUAUAAUAAUAAGAACGAAGAACCCACACCACCGCAGCCGUCCGAUCCCAGGUCCGGGGCAGCCUCGGAAGCCAUGGUUCUCGGCGAGGGGAGGCCAGCCCAGGCUUGGGCCAGGGCCGGUGGCCAUGGUUAGCGGGAAUAUCGGCUCAAUGUUGUGGCGGCCAAUGGGCGGGAUGCACGCGUGGCCGGGAAGGGAAGAGGGCGUGGUGACAGGUGUUAUGCCAUGCACUCCUAGGCCUCCAUGGCUGCUCUGGUCGGACACGGUUUUGGGGGCAUUCCCGUGCGUGGUAAGUAACAGGGGCGAGAGUAAUGGUAGGAUCAACGAGGCCUAGGCGAAGCAGGAGAUGCUGGCUUACAUCGAGCUGUUCUUGAAUGGCGGCCAUUCUGGUCUGAGGAAAUCCUCCCAUUUGCAGCAGCGUUCGGUAUGAUCCCUGUUGGAGAUCUGCGUCUUUACCAGUGGAUUCAUAGAACGCUACUCUUUGAAGGUAUGGCAUGGAGUCCCUCUUUUGCAUUAGAGCGAAUGUUGUGAAGGGGAGCUGACACCUCUCUGUGGGAUUUGCAGGUGAGAGAAGAUGUACCUCGGUGAUUUUCACUUGAAAGUCGUCCAUUUUCAUCUUCACCCCGUCGAAGAUCCAAGCCCGAACUCGCAGUGACAAGCAAAGCAGCACAGGGACUCCUAGAGGCUCGGGGAUAUUAUAUUCUAAAAAGCACGCACGGAUUGAUUGGAGUCAAGUCAUGUCACACAAGCAGACGAGACGAUGGACUCUGGAUAUUAACACGUAAGGUGGUACACAGGAUUAAUUCGUUUUGACUUUCUCACUGAACUUUGCCAUUGUUUCAGGAGGAAGGAACACUGUGACUUCAAUGGCUUUCCCACCUCUCGGUGACGGGUCGUAGAAGCAGAAGCCGUUCCACAACUUCGUAGCGUGUCGAACAGCGUGUCGAACAGGCUGGUUUCCCCCAUCCAAAGUCCAGACUAUACAUUGGAAAUCUUGGAGAGCUACCAAAGAUUGGUAAACACAACAUUGGAGUUAUUUUGUUGUUCUUGAGUGUGCUUUGCAAAAGUCUAAUAUUUUCCUUUCAGAUCAUUACAUAGUUGUGAAAUUUAUAUAUAUCCAACUGUAGUCUGCAUUUCUAUUCUGCAUAAAUUUCUAUACAAACUCAAUUAAAAUAUAUAUAUUAUCAAACCUAUAAUUGAAGUGACUGAAAAUGCCUCGCCUCCGCCAUCUUUUGAGAACCAUACGACAUAGUAAACAACCUAAUGGAGAUUUAGAUGCCUUUGAAACUAUGAUUGAUCAUGAUACACAUACUAUAGCUGUUCAAAAUAAUCAUGAUAAUGAUUCUAUACACCUAAAUAUUAAUCAUGAUAAUGACUAUAUACAGCAAUCAGUUGGACACUCAGAAGCAUCUGGAACCUUACAUGCAUGUCAUUAUGACAAUUACAUAUAUCAAGCAAUAUUAAAUCCACCACCC